GACGAACGCUGGCGGCGUGCUUAACACAUGCAAGUCGAACGGAAAGGCCUCUUUCGGGGGGUACUCGAGUGGCGAACGGGUGAGUAACACGUGAGUAACCUGCCCUUGACUUUGGGAUAACUUCAGGAAACUGGGGCUAAUACCGGAUAGGAGCUCCUGCUGCAUGGUGGGGGUUGGAAAGUUUCGGCGGUUGGGGAUGGAAUCGCGGCUUAUCAGCUUGUUGGUGGGGUAGUGGCUUACCAAGGCUUUGACGGGUAGCCGGCCUGAGAGGGUGACCGGCCACAGUGGGACUGAGAUACGGCCCAGACUCCUACGGGAGGCAGCAGUGGGGAAUAUUGCACAAUGGGUGGAAGCCUGAUGCAGCAACGCCGUGUGCGGGAUGACGGCCUUCGGGUUGUAAACCGCUUUCGCUCAUGACGAAGCUUUGUGUGACGGUAGUGGGUAAAGAAGCACCGGCUAACUACGUG
rnacentral:rRNA from 1 species